GACGAACCGUGCGAACGUUGUUCGGAUUCACUGGGCUUAAAGGGCGCGUAGGCGGACGGUCAAGUCAGGGGUGAAAUCUUUCAGCUCAACUGGAAAAGUGCCUCUGAUACUGAUCGUCUCGAGGGAGGUAGGGGCAUGUGGAACUUCCGGUGGAGCGGUGAAAUGCGUAGAUAUCGGAAGGAACGCCGGUGGCGAAAGCGACGUGCUGGACCUCUUCUGACGCUGAGGCGCGAAAGCCAGGGGGAGCGAACGGGG
rnacentral:rRNA from 1 species